rnacentral:misc_RNA from 1 species
GAUGAAGAACCCAGCGAAAUGCGAUACGUAAUGUGAAUUGCAGAUUUCAGUGAAUCAUCGAAUCUUUGAACGCACAUUGCGCCCGCUAGUAUUCUGGCGGGCAUGCCUGUUCGAGCGUCAUUUCAACCAUCAAGCCCUAGGCUUGCGUUGGAGCCCUGCGGCUGCCGCAGGCUCCCAAAUCCAGUGGCGGGCUCGUCGUCGUACCGAGUGCAGUAAACAUCCUCGCUCAGGGAACGUGACGGGUUCUUGCCGUGAAACCCCCCACAUAUCAAGGUUGACCUCGGAUCAGGUAGGAAUACCCGCUGAACUUAAGCAUAUCAAUAAGCGGAGGA